UUCAGAGGCUGCAAGUUGCUAGGUUAUUGUGAGAGUGUAAACACUUGGGUUGGGAAUUAUAAGCUUACCAAACACUUGGGAAGUAAGGUUUAUAGCACAUUUCAGUUCAGGUUUAGAUUGGUCAUAAAAGCAUUCAAGGAAAUCUAAGAUCUUGAACAUAAAGUUUUUGGAAAAUAGCUUUAGUGGCGGGAAAUGUUCUUGGAAGCUUGGGGAUGUGUGUUGAGGCGGAAUGGAGUCAAUGGACCGAGAGUUUGAUCGAGGAUGAAGUCUUUUUAAAUUUUAUAUGUAUCACUACAAGAAUAACUAAUAUCACUAACGGCACUAUCACUGACGGCAAAAUGUUGUUAGUAAAGGUCAUAGUAUCACCAACGACAUUUCACUGUCGUCAGUAAUACUUUUUUCUUUUGGUUAAAUAAAACAUCACCAACGAAAAUUACAACAAUGAGGACAAUGUCGUCAUUGAUAAAUUUAUCACUGAAGACAUUGUCCUCAUUGAUGUUUUCUACUGUUUUUGAAAAUGAACCGUUAAAGAGGCGGGCUUUUUCCCUCUAAAAAGUAUUACCAACGACUUUGUCGUUAAUAAUACUCUGCCACGUCGUCAGUGAUGUCCAAUCACCAACGACUUUGUCCUCAUUGAUAGUCGUUGGUGAAAAUCAUUAAAAACAUCUUCUUCAACCCCGAGCCCCCAUUUCCCCUUAACCCAUUUUAUCAGUUUUUUUUCAGAUCUAAGCUCUCCUCUCUUCCCCUCCCGUCGAACGCCGUCCCCUCCCUCUGCCGUCCCCUCCCUCUUUGCCUCACUCUCGCCUCUCUCCUCAACGAAACAGUAGCCGCUCCUCUCCAUCUCUCCAUCGGACCCUCGCCGAUCCUCUCCAACCACUGUGAACCCCUCACAGUCGCUCCUCCACUCGGCGCUCAUCUCCGACCACCGCGAAACCCCCACAGUCGCUCCUCCACUAGCCGCUCGUCUCCGACCACUGCGAACCCCCCACAGUCGCUCCUCCAAAGAGAGCUCUGGAGUUGGCUCAUUAACAGCAGAGGAGUUGCAAAAAAAGUAAAGAAGGCUUCUGCUUGUCAAAUAAGAGACUGCUGGUAAUUAUUUCACAAUCAAAACCACAACUGUAAUUAGUUUUAUGAGCAGUUGGCUCAUUAACAGCAGAGGAGUUGGCUCAUUGUUACAGGAGUUGGCUCAUUAACAGCAGAGGACUAUUGAUUAUGUAUUUAUUUAUGUUUUAUGAACACUUUAGUAUUUUAUAUUUCCAUGUAUGACUUUUUAAAAUUUAAU